GUCAUUUCCAGUCCGGGCUUCCACACAGUCACGGAUGGAAUCCCAGAGUGCUGACUGAGGACACCUCUCUGAGAUGACCCAGAUGAUCCUCCUUUACAGGAGGAGGAGAAGCAAAUAGAACAGACAGAAGAGAGAUCAAGAGAGCGCAUGACACAGGGUGGUCACCGACUGAAGGAC